CUGCGCGCUCCCGGCUCGAGGGGCGGGGGUGAUGGAGACGCGGCGAUCCGGGCAGGCCCGGAACCUCGGGCGCCUCCUCCCAGGUUCAGCCCAGCGACCCGAGCUAGGGACUUGGAGAGGCGCGCCGCGGAGCGCGGAGCCGAGUCCAACCGCCGCGCGGGUGGAGGGUGCACUGGGCGCGGGCAUCCGGAGCAAGCCGGCGCUGCUCGGAUGAUGCCUGAUAGGUCCGGACCCGUAAGUUGAGGGAUGCAGACUGGGGCAUCGCCGGGAACUUACAGCGUAGACGCAUAUUAAACCUGAUGGAAAGUCGAGGGCUCUCCGGGCUCCGGGUCAUCCUGGCAUCUUGCUUGCCGCGACGGGUCCCCCUCUGUGACCGCAGCUGCCGUUGGAGCCGAGCAACCUCUGCCAAGCCUGCCAGGUUCCAAUGUUCCAUCAGAGGCUUUAGCUAAGUUCUGGACUUCUCUCAGAACUCUUGAGAACCUGGGUGUUUCUACUCGAUUACACAGGACGAAUGACCUCUAAUAGAGAUGAUUCAAAUUGGGGAUAUACUUUUUACAAACUUAAAAAUUAUGUUUAGAAAUUAAUGACAUGGGGAAAUACUCAUAUUUUUAAAUGAAAAACUCAUGUUGCAAAAUCGGACCUCGAUUUUAAAAACGGAAAGAAAUGUACCAAAAUAUUUACAGAAGCUAUGGUGAUAGGAUAAUAGGUUUUUGUUUUCUUUGCAAUUUUCUGGUUUCCCAGAUGUUCCACAUUGAACAUGACCUUGAGUACAAAAAGAAGUGACUAUAGGAUGAGUCAUUGUUUGGGGGUUAAAUUUUGCCCCCAAAUGGGUACAUCAAAGUCAGAAACCCCGGUAUCUGUGAAUGUGACCCUAUUUCCAAGUAGGGGUUUUUUUUUUGCAGAUGUAAUCAAGUUGAGAUCCUAUUGAAGUAGGUUAUAUGACUAGUGUCCCUGUAAAAAGAGGAGAGACAAAGAAACCGCCGCCCCCCUCAGGGGAAACACCAUGUGAAGACAGAGAAAGAGACUGGAGUGGUACAUCUGAGUCAAGAAAUGCCCGGGAUAGCUGGCACCACCGGAAGCCAAGAAGAGGCCAGGAAGGACCCUCCCCUAAGGACAGCGUGGCCCUGUCAGCACCUAAUUGCAGACAUCUAGCCUCCAGAACUGUGAGACAAUACAUUUUUGUUGUUUUAAAUGA